GGCUGGUCCAAUGGUAGUGGGUUAUCAGAACUUACUAACAUUAGUGUCACUAAAGUUGGUAUACAACCUCCCACUGCUAAAUUAGACUGACUUUUA
ensembl:Y_RNA Y_RNA Y RNA